UUCCCUAAAUAAUCACGAUUGUCUCAUAGACGAUUAAUAUUUUUUUGUAGUGUGUUACUAAGAGACUUUGCGCCCCAUCCCAGAGCAUGUGGAUUCCUAAUGUCUGAAUUUGAUGCAAAUCACAGGGUGAGGACUUGCUCGUGCCACAUGGCUUGUCAUGGCUUGUGUGCAGGAGCACCCACGCCAGGUUGUGCCUCGCUGUGCCCCUUCUUUUCCAGGGCCACAGUGUCAAGUGACAGUGGAAGGACCAUGGUGUCCAUUUCCAGUGGAGCAUUCCUCUCCAUGGCCACUGUGGGGGACGAGUUUCAUUUAUGAAACCAGAUAGGCUCUACAAAGUUUGAGGUGUUUUGAUUUUUGCUGAUUUUCCAUUCUAGGCCCUACAGCGAGCUUACUGCUGGCCGAAUCCAGUCUCCUUAUAUUUCUGAGUUGCAGUUUCUCCAUCUACGAAACUGGGAGGAAAUGAAAUCUGUAGACCUACAAGUAUUAUCAUGGCCGCUUUUCUUCAGUAAGGACUCAAACAGCUUUAACUCACUGUUAGUGUCAUUUCUGCCUUGUGGGCUUGAAAGCUCAAUGAGAAGACUUUCCCAUGCCACAGAGAAGAACAGAAUAGCAACAGUUCUAGUGAUGAAGGAAUCAAAAUUGAGCCAAGGAAACUGUGUAAAAUCGGCUUCCUCCGCCCCAAUCAGAAAAUUGUAUCCAGCAAAAGGGCAUUCUUUGAUUGCUUAAUAUGAAGAUGCACAGAUCUCUGCCCUCAUCCAGCAGUGUCUACUCCUGAGCAUGCAUAACCACCCUAUGGUGCAUCUGUUGGCCGUUUGUUAUCUCUGAGUUCUCAUUAAUUUUCAGCAAUGAGUCCAUCUGGGAAUAAUUUCAUUGUGAGAAGAAGGCUUCCAUUCUAUCAAGAAAAAAGGCUGCAUGGAAAUCACGGAAAGCUACAGAAGAAAGUAUCGGCCAUUGUUUGAAAGCAUUGUGGCCUGUGAAGAUGGAAACCAGAAAGGGGAUUUGCCUCCAAAUUUUAUAAGCUUCUAGAAACUCAAAUGAUGAGAAACAAAUGUGAAAAAAAUCACAAAAGUAGUGGUUACUAAAAAAAAAUAAUUCUUAAAGCCCUGUUGCUUUUAUGAUGAACAGACCUGGUUAGAAGGAUAUUAAUUAUCUGGAAUACCAUCAUUUAAACAGGUGGAGAUAUUCCCAGUAUUUUUUGGUUGCUUCCUAGAUUAGUAUUAAACUUCUCAGCUGCUAACAAUGAAGUUAUCAGCCACUGGAACAAAUUAUUAAGAGGAACAGUGAGCUUACCAUUUCUUGAAGUCUUCAAACAGAGUGUAUGGUAUGCUUUAGCAAACAAUGGAGACACAGCUGGGUGAAAUUAUAUGGUUGUACUAAAGAGCGGGGAACAUGAGAUAUUCUAUGUGGUCCUUUCUAGCCUUAAGAGCUAUGGAUCUAUAAUUUCACAAAUACCAUUACAAAGAACUCCUCAGAUGUAGUGAUGACCAUGGCAACAAUCUGAGUGCAACUCCUGAUUGGGAGUAGAUUAUUCUAAAGUAUUUUGAGAAAUUACAGACCUAUAAUACAGUUUCUACGUGGUACUGUCACUACAUGGUCAUUUUACUAUCAUAAGGGGGCACUGUAAUUUUAUAAUAUUAGAAAUCCCUUUUUGAGGACUAAAGAGCUCAUUGUACUUCAGUUCAUUAACAAGCAUAUAAACAAGUAAGCAUGUAUACUGCUGCUUUCUUGAUAUAUAUUUCAGCCAUUACAAUGAGAAAUAAGUAUGCAAGAUUCACUCAGUGAAAUAAAAAGCAAUCCAUGCAGGAAAUUCUAAGAUAUUUCUCAUUAAUGUAGACCAUUUCUAAGCUAAACUAAUUUUCUCCCCCUUGUAGUGUGAUCUGGCAUACUGAUUAAAAGAGAACCCUUUUCCAUAGCCAGUCCUCCAGUUGAGAACAGCUAAACCAUUUUUUCCCCAGAUUUCCAACACCUUUGGGCAUUGUUCACUGUCAAAAUUUAAAUACAGUGGGAUAGUUGGAAGUUUGGGAAAGGUAUACGUGACUGAGCAGUUGGGCAUGAACAGCAAUAGUUCUUCAACUUUGAGAUGUAUUUUAUUUUCUAUAAAGAAAGAAGGAGUUUAGUGACUACAUGCUUAGAAAGAAGACUGUGCCAUUUCAUGGUAGCUCUCGAACAUCAUCUUUAAAACUUCAAUUUUUAACAUUGUCUGAUUUUAAAAAAGAAAAAAAAAAAAACAACAAAAAAACAGUAGCCUACACUGAAAAAGACUUCAAGUUAUAUGUAUAGCAUAUUCUAUUAUCAUCAUCACCAGGACGGUUGCAAAAGGUAUUCCUUCAUUAUGGUUAAACCAUCUAACUAAUCUUAAGACAAAAUUACUGUGGUGCCAGUAUGACUGCCACCCAGAAAUGUGGGUUUGGCAGUAUAGCUAUUACACUUGGGAUGUCCUAACUAACAGUAGAAGAUUUAUCAAAACAUAAUGGCGUAGCUUUUCAGCUACUUCAGGGAAAGGUGAUAGUUUAGUGUCCAGGAUGGAUAUGCAUAAUUCCAGAUACAGAUUUUGGGGUUUUAGAUUGUAGUUAAUGGAUAGUUA